UACGGGGGGGGCAAGCGUUGUUCGGAAUUACUGGGCGUAAAGGGCUCGUAGGCGGUCUGUUGCGUCUGCUGUGAAAACCCGGGGCUUAACCCCUGGCUUGCAGUGGAUACGGACAGACUAGAGGUAGGUAGGGGAGAAUGGAAUUCCCGGUGUAGCGGUGAAAUGCGCAGAUAUCGGGAGGAACACCGGUGGCGAAGGCGGUUCUCUGGGCCUUACCUGACGCUGAGGAGCGAAAGCGUGGGGAGCGAACAGG
rnacentral:rRNA from 1 species